UUCAAGACCCAGUUUCUGUUUAUCAUUUUGCUAGCAGUUGAACCACUAUCCUUCAUAUCUCAAUCCUCUGCAUUACAUUUGGAACUUUGUUGAGAAUCCAAAAUCAAUACAGAGUGUGUUGUAUUCUGAAAUAUUAAGAGAUCGAUAGAAAAACAGUGGGAAGAGGAUAUGCAGAGAAAUUAGGGCAUGGAAGCACAAGAGGCAUAUGAGAGAUACGAGGAAGAGAGAGAACAAAAUAGGUAGACACCCACACGCCAACAAAUGAAAAUAAAUAGAGAAAGACACUCAAGGCUAUAUAAGAGAGAUAUAAUCAAUCCCUUUAGAGAGAGAAGGUGUUCUUUUAGAGAGAGAAGCAUACAAUGCGAAAUUAGCCAGGGUCA
rnacentral:misc_RNA from 1 species